UUCGAAUCCCUCUCUUUC
rnacentral:tRNA from 1 species